rnacentral:tRNA from 1 species
GCGGGAUUAACUCAAUGGUAGAGUGCUAGCUUCCCAAGCUGGAAGUUGCGGGUUCAAAUCCCGUAUCCCGCU